AAACAGAUGGCGUAAGUGUCAUCGUUUACGUGUCGUAAACUUGUUGUCACCUGUCAAGCUGUCAUCAAAUGUUGACCGGAUUUGCCAAGAAAUUGUUCGAUAUGCAAGAACGGUAAACCCAGCAGGAACUGAAGGAUCAAGCUCAAGGUUUUCCCUCUACUCUUUGCUAUGCUGACUCAUGGAGUCAUGGCGCCAUUAUUGCUCAUCACAAACAAGUGACUCGUACUCUUCCUAAUGGCCUGAUGUCAGGUUGACUUUUCAGCAAAGAGCGGCGGAGAAAAAAAUAGAAUCUAAUAUCAGCUGUGAUGUAUAAAGGUGAAGAGGAAUAUUUUCAAAAGUGCCGACUGUCCUUCAAACUGUUCGAAAUGGAAGAUUUAUUCAUUCACCGAAGAAACGAGUUAAUGACUCAAAUGUAAAUUGACCCAUUCCAAUCCCCAGCAACGUCAACCUGCAGAAGGAAAGGC